ensembl:lncRNA
CAUGAGCUCAUUAAAGUGCACGAACCCUCUGUUGGGCUUUUUACUGCAUGAAAACAAUUGAUUACUUAAAAAACGGUCCCACCCUUUCCUAAAAGCACACGAGUGUGUAUAUAGGCUGCUACCAACAGCUCACAUACACCCUGAAUAGGAAGCACAUCUCUCUGACGGACACAAUCUUUUUUUUGAAGGAGGAUAUCGCUUGCUGGACUUACAGAAGUGCAACAAGAUCGGUCAUUGUUAUCUGUGGAGAAACAUGGGAAACGAGAACUCCAAGAACAAAGAACUGCAGAACAGGAACGGCAGGAUUCCUGAGAAGCAUAUAAAUGGAUCAGCGAACGGCCUCUCUGCGAACCUCUCAUCUAACGGCUUGGAGAUUUCUGCUAACGGUGAGGCCGCAGUCCAGAAGAAUGGCGAGUCCUCUUCUUUAAAGCGUGCGACUGAACCAAAUGAUUUUGUCGUUGUGGAAUUAGACGGUAAAGCUGCUGACGCUCCAGUUAUUUCUGAAAUCCUUGAAAUCGUCAUCCACAAGGAAGAGGUCAGGGAAAGUGAAGGAGAUCAAACGGAUGUUAGUCUCCCUGCCACCAAUCUACAGACGGAGUCAACCUCAAGUGGAGAAGAAGCAGCCGCAGCGAUGAUCGCUGUGCACCUAGACAGCGUAGAGUGUCCGCUUCGAAAAGCUGAAACAUCAACACAAACAGACGGGACAACUGAGGCAGAUAUCUCGACACAAACGUAUAAGAACGAGGAAGUCGCAACCACCGAUAACGAGGUUCCUGUUGAAGAAGCAGUCUCCAUGGAGACUGGAUCAACUGAAGAAGACCCUCUAAAUGUGUCGGCCCGCGUCAUUGUUCAGGAUGACGGGGAGUCCUCCGACAACCAGGCCGCUCGGACCAUCAAUGAGGGGGUGGUCAUGUAUGAAAAUAUGGUGUUCAGACUGGAACGGGCAGAACUUGAUGGAACUGAGUCAAACAUCACUGCAGAACCAGGUUUUAACCCAAAAGUAUCCGAGAUUGAAGAGGAAACAGUUGCAGAGGAAAAUAACAUUGGAGAAACAUCGGCAUCGGAGGUCUAUUACAGCUUUCCUAAAGUGGUGGCAGAUUGUGUUGAGGUGGUUUUUGCGGAUGCGCCUCAGUCCACCGGCUUUGCUGCUGUGGACUCGUCAGUGCUUGCAGACGGAGUAGCUACUGGAGACAAUGGCGAAGGAGCUGGACACACGUCAGUCGAUGCCGUGCAGACUGAAACCGCCAAACAUCAGUCCACUGAGGCCCGGAAAGCAAAUGCCGUUCGUUCCUCAGCCACCGCGCUGAUGGAGACAAUCUCUGAGGUUGUUUGCGAGGCACCUGAUCCCGCACCAGCAGACCACGAUGCGCCCGCAGAGCAUUCUUCUGCCCGUCUUGCAGUAGCACUUCUAGUUAAGGCAGAAUCUGCCCAUGAGGAGGUCACCGCUGAUGAUGCUGUUGCAACGGAGAUUGUACCAGAAACACCUCAACAAGCAAAACUGGACGACGAGCCCUCAGAGAAGUGCGAUAGUUGCCCUGAGCAUGACAUCAUCACUGCAGAGGCUCCCAAUAAGCCUGCCAUCAUUGAGGAGCUUCCCGUGGAACCAGAAAGAUAUGAAGAAGCAGAACCAAGUCCCGUACUUGCCAAAGACAGUGCUGAGGCAAUGUGGGAAGCGGCAAUCAAUGCCCUCUCUGAAGACUUCAGAGAAGAAUCUAGCAGCCUGCCUCGGGAGGCUGCAGCGGCCAAAGGCUUACCUCUGAUAGAGGAGGUGAUCACCGCGUCAACUUUUGCAGGCCUUCCAGGGGGCCAAGAAGCAAGCAUUGCUGUUGCAGAGGAGCUUUUUAAGAGGGUCACUGCAGAGGCUUUAUCAAAUGCAACUGAAACAGUAGCAGAAGACGCCACAAACACUGGUGAGGAGCCUGCAGAUGUGCCGCCGAUGGACGCCACGGGAGAGCCCGAGCUUUGCGUUUCGGUCCAAGAGAGACUCAGAGACGAGAACGUCGCCCCGGCAGAAGUACCAGCCAAUUCCAGGAGUUUGAGCCAUCUCGAGCGCCGACCAAAGUCCAGCGCGCAGAUCGUCGCCAUGGAGACAAUUGAAGACGGGGCUGUGAGACAGAUAAUGCAUGAAACAGAUACUUCUGCGGUGGAUGUCUCCCAGAUUACCACUUUGGAUGAGGCUAUGUCAGAGAGUUUCGACGCUGUCCUUGAGGCCAUUGUGGAAGAAAUCAUUAACGAGGACGUCUUCUCAGCUGACGGCCGCCUCGUGACUUCAGACGAGGUGUCACCAGAGGCCUUUGUAGAGGAAGACGCUGAAGAGGAUGCAGAGAAGGAAUCAAGUGUGAACUCAUCAGAUCCAACAGUGGACUCACAAAGUGUCACAAGAACAGACAUGGAAGCUUUAGCUGUUAGUUUGCAGUCGGCGUGUAAAUCAGUUGUUGAAGAAUCGACAAAUAGGCCUGGUAGUUUAAUGCUUCCUUCACUAGGAUACAGUAUCACGGUUACUGUUCAUGUGGCGCCAAAGCAGUAAAAUCCUUGUCUGAACUUUUUUGUUGAAAAUGAUUGGUCUGCCUCCAGGAUGUAAUGUGUUAAAUGAUUGAUGCGAAAGUAAUUACAACCCAAUUGUAAAAUUAUUUGUGUUUUAUCAUAACAAGCAAGUCCCUCUGUUUUUUUAUGCUUUAUUAACACUUGCUGAUUUUCCAAUAAAAUGAAAAAUGAAACCGUUCAUGAUUUUCUUCAUCAUCUGUUUGCAUUCCUUUGGUCGGUGUCAGGUGACAAAUAAUACCUACUUUCAAAAAAGUAGGGCCACUAAUGACUUUGAAAAACAAUGAAUUAGACAUUUGAACGUUAGCAGAUUCACUAAUGAUCUUUAAAUCAGAGUUGGUCAACGAUAACCCAGCAUCAAAACCCAGCAAAGGUAUUUGCGUUUCCUGACAUUCUUUUCUCCGGGCAAAACUCUCACACAUUGUUGAAUAUCAAUGAGUGAGGGGUGGGACACACGCAUUGAUAAAAGGCCGAUUGUUGACAGUGCCCCGAGUAGGCAGAGGCAUGGUUGGAAUUGUGUACUCCCAUCUCAAUGCUGCGAUUAAGACCCUCACUGCUUGCAUUAUAAGCCACGCUGCUCUAACGCAAUACUCAAAGGCUAAUUCUUUGUGAUGGUGUAUAGGAGACAGCUAAGCAAAAGCAAGGGUCAGAAUCAUUGACGGAGCCAGAGAGUGUGACUCUAGACUCUGACGAGGGAAACCAGGAGGACAAUAACCCAGAAGAGAAUCCAGUUAUGAACUUCUUCAAAUCUCUAACGACUUCCAAAAUAACCAAAAAGGAAACAGCUGCUCCUGUUGCCAUAAAAGACCAGUCCCAGAAGGAGAACCAACCAGCAGCAACCACUACCGUCGCACAAGUAUCUGAGCCGCCUGCAGCGCCCAAAGGAAUGUCUAUCCCACCGCCACCUCCUCCAGAGCCACCAAAAAUGGAUAUCAAGGCAGAACCAGCUGCUAAACCUGUCAAGGCCACACCAAGAGAAGAAGCAAAAGCUGUUGCCAAGCAACCCCAGUCCUCCAAAGGAAAAUCAGCAACUCUAAGCAAAUUUUUCCGUUCAAAGACAAACAAGGAGUCCCCACCAAAGCCAGACAUUGAAGUAGACGUACAACAAGUUGUAGAAGUAGAGGAGACACCAGUGGAAGCUCCUGAGCCAGUUGUUUUAGAAGUCAAGAGUGAAAAUAAUGUUGACCCCCAUGACUCAGCAGAGCAGGUGGCCCAGCCUGUUGUACAAGAGCAGAAGGUGGAUUCUUCAAAAGCUGGCACUUUGGAGGCUGCAGCGAAACCAGAACCGCCGCCGCCUGUGCAGGAAGCACAGAAAACUGCCUCAACAUCCUCCUUCUUUUCUCUCUUCAAGCCUAAAGCCGCUGAUCCCAAAAAGGCGAGUCCUGCCCCGGCUGCAGCCCCAGAGACAGUGAAAGCCAAGGAGGAACCCAAAGCAGCAGCCAAGUUAUCCGAGGCCGUGGUAGAUAAUAAACCUGCUUCAGUGGCCUCCCAGGCCGCAGGUGAUGCAGCCAAGGCGCCAAAGAAACUGGAGAAGAGGAACUCCAUCCAUCAGUUCUUUAAAAUUCUGGGCCAGAAGCGUAACUCGACAGAUGCCGGGAUCCAGACAGAGACGCUCGCUGUCGCUCCGGUACCCGAGAAGGUCAAAUGAAACCAAAAGCGAGAGUGAAGUUUCCCUGUACAGACUCCUUCUCUUUUUCUUGCCCUUACUCGGUUUUCAUGUGCCUCAUCUGUCUCAUUAUUCUUUAAACUCUUAUAGAAUUGCUUUAACUACAUUUUGAUUUUGUUAUUGUUCAUAAGUUACAAUACGCACGGAAUAGUGAGCGGAAAGGCAAAGGCAAGUAGUGAGAAAGACACACAGCAGGUAGUUGCACAAGUGGUGAUUUGAAAUGGUCCAUGGUGAGGUUGUUGAGAUAUUUACAGUAUAUACAGUACAUAUUGUGUUUGGACCCUGUGCCUUGACAAGUAUAGCAAAAUCAGUGUGAAAUCUUUUCUACAGACAUUUAAUGUAACUUCUCUCUGUUCUUGCACAUGAAACAGAAGGUAAAAGGCAUCGCUUUUAGCUUUGUGUUUGUCAAAAAAAAACAUUUAAAAAAGGUUCUAUUUUUUACAGUUCACACAAAAGAAAAUCACGCAGCUGUGGCCGUGCAGAGGUUCCCACGAAAUUGCAUCGCACUUAAAUCCAUAUGUGAUAUAUUAACAUUAACAGCUCUGAAAAGAGCAAAUAAGAAGAGCAUCUUAGUGUAACAAGAAGCACUUAGCAGUCAAGUAUCUGUAUCGAGGGUGAUGGGGAACUGGCUAUAUGCGUAAAAAAAUGCAUCUGAGAGAUGUGUCUUUGUGCUACGUUUUUACUAAUGACUCACAGUUGAUUAGUUUUACAUUUGAACUUUGUCUCAUGUAACUCAGUGGAAGUCUUGUAGCGUCAGUCAGCAAUUAACAUCACGCUUUUGGUGGCCUUGCUUGAUGUAUGCAUGUGUGUGCGUGUGUGUAACUUCAGCUAUCCUGAAGACAAUAAACCUGUUUAUCAUUCGUUGUAUCUUCAUGUGUGUACGCGGCAACUGAGAAACCCCGUGAAGAAUAACCGGCUGUUGCAUUCGGCAUCUGCCAAAAUAUGCACCUCAGUAAGUUUGGCAAAAAAAAAUAAAAAAUCACACAUCAAAUCUUAUAAUAAAUAUUUUAAUUCACACUAAACUAAACUCAUAAGGCGUGACACAUGAGUCCUACCUUGGGCGUCGGUGGAAAUACUGCCAGCCUUACUCACCCAUGGGUUUAUUUUGUUGGCUGAAAAACAAGUGACGGUGAUGACGGGCAGGGCCGUACAAACCAAAACUCACCUCAGAGCCGCCCGCCGUCCGCCCGCCCGCCUGAUGGACGGAGAGCCGUCUGCGGUCCGUCACUACCAAAUAUUACAUUCAGAGACACCUUAGAGAUAAAAAGAUGUUAAACGAGAUCUAAGGAAUUGUUUCAGGUAAAGCAAAGCCUCCCAUACUCUAUUUUCAUUUAUGAGGUAAUUCCAAUGAUGGAG